rnacentral:lncRNA from 1 species
GUCAGACAGGUCAGGUUUAUUUCUCACGGAUGGUUUCUCUCUGACUCACCCUUAUUCCGAGGGUAUAACCACCUUCAGGGGUCCAGCCAAGACUGUGCUGUCCUUCGUCCUUGGUGGUCCCUGGACCCCAAUAUUUUUUCUCAUGACCGUAAAUCUGCUGAAAGUUCUGCUUAAAUCUUCAGCCUCUUAGAAGUCACUUUCUGCAAAGCUCAUUCUGCUUAGGAAUUGCCCCAGGAGAUUCCACGAGCUCUGACGAGCUGCCACCUUCUGCGUGGUUCUUCUGCUUGGCUCCCAGCCUCUCGGAGCAGCUGCCCACACCCUGGAGCUCAGCAAGGAGGGCCAGCACUGGGGGCCUCACUCUGCUGGUGGCAGAGGAGACGGUGGAAAUCGAUGGAGUGAGAGAGACCCGGUGGUGGUGACUUAUUACAGGGAGCAGAGGAGUCAAGGAUGAACGCAGACUGUCUUCUGAGAUGCUGGGGGCACACGCUGGCCAACCAGACUGAUGUCUGCGCCCUGCCAGGCUCCCGAAGCCCUCCCCUGGGGGUGCCCAGACCUCCUCCCUGUGCAUCCCCCAUUAUAGCGCUGACUACUCUGUG